rnacentral:rRNA from 1 species
UCCCAGACUCCUACGGGAGGCAGCAGUGGGGAAUAUUGCACAAUGGGGGAAACCCUGAUGCAGCAACGCCGCGUGAGUGAAGAAGUCAUUCGUGAUGUAAAGCUCUAUCAGCAGGGAAGAAAAUGACGGUACCUGAGUAAGAAGCCCCGGCUAACUACGUGCCAGCAGCCGCGGUAAUACGUAGGGGGCAAGCGUUAUCCGGAUUUACUGGGUGUAAAGGGAGCGUAGACGGCGGUGCAAGCCAGAUGUGAAAGCCCGGGGCUCAACCCCGGGACUGCAUUUGGAACUGUGCUGCUAGAGUGUCGGAGAGGCAGGCGGAAUUCCUAGUGUAGCGGUGAAAUGCGUAGAUAUUAGGAGGAACACCAGUGGCGAAGGCGUCUUACUGGACCGAAACUGACGUUGAGGCUCGAAAGCGUGGGGAGCAAACAGGAUUAGAUACCCUAGUA